CCUACGGGUGGCUGCAGUGGGGAAUUUUGGACAAUGGGGGCAACCCUGAUCCAGCCAUUCCGCGUGAGUGAAGAAGGCCUUCGGGUUGUAAAGCUCUUUCGCAAGGGAAGAAAACUUACUCAAUAACACUGGGUGAGGCUGACGGUACCUUGAUAAGAAGCACCGGCUAACUACGUGCCAGCAGCCGCGGUAAUACGUCGGGUGCGAGCGUUAAUCGGAGUGUGUGGAGGUGGAGCGGGAGCAGGGAGUUGAAAUCCCCGGGCUCAACCUGGGAACUGCGUUUGAAACUACAAGGCUAGAGUAUGGCAGAGGGGGGUAGAAUUCCACGUGUAGCAGUGAAAUGCGUAGAGAUGUGGAGGAAUACCAAUGGCGAAGGCAGCCCCCUGGGUCAAUACUGACGCUCAUGCACGAAAGCGUGGGGAGCAAACAGGAUUAGAUACCCGAGUAGUC
rnacentral:rRNA from 1 species